rnacentral:piRNA from 1 species
UGAUCACCUGUGACAGGACUGGGAGA